AAAAAAGCGUGUGUGCCUGGAGUCUUGGGAAUCAGGGUGUCCCUGCCCACGUGCGACCCAGGGUGCUAUUGAAAAGGAAGCUGAGAAGGCAGGGACAGGUUGUACUUCCUGUGCUGAGAAGCAUGGACAUACUCAUCCUAUGUUCAAUAGACAGUCAAGAUUCAAUGUUUUAUAACCAGUUCCUCAGUGCAAGCGUGCUGUGUGACUUCAAGUAGAGCACAAGUUACCACACCUGUUUAACUGUUAAGGUCACAGGAUAAAAAUCACUGACUCCAGAGGGACUUGUUUCUUGACUCUUCUGACCAUUAAGCUAAGAUGGGGGAGAAUGCUUCUUUCUCUGUAUCACUGGAGAUAAACCCAGAACUGCAUCUAGAAAACAUGACACCCAAGGAAGGCAAUACGAGGAAUUAUCUGCUUAACCUCAAUCAGAAGACAACGAAAGCUGAAGUACAGCUGCCAAAGAAAAGCAGUGGUGGGUGGAAGAAAGGCCUACUUUGAGUGAAGCUGGAUGGAUGCUGCCUUCACCCUCAGCUCUACUGCCAAGGGGGGGGUGUGCUUUGGUUUUGCUUCCUGUCUCUACCACCAGUGUGAGAAAGCAGGCAGAUGGGAAACCAGAACUGCAAAAACAUCCCCUGGUGUACA